ACACUAACUGGUGUCCAAGAUGUCUAGAAGUGGCUACUGCUCUCUAGCUGAGAACUAACCACUGCUUUUAUGACUAUGUAGUAUAAUAUAUGUUGGUACUCUCUGAUUCUUUGUAGACUCAGGCAGUGCUUUUGUUUCAUCAACAAAUUGCUGGGAAGGUUCAACAGGUUUGGCAGCAUUUGAGGAGAAGCCAUUUAACACUUCUGGUCCAGUGACCCUUGAACUCCAUUGUACCCAAGACAUUAACUCUGAUUUCUCAACAGAUGUUGCCAGUCCUGCUGAGCUUUUCCAGCAAUUUUUGUUUGACUUCCAGCAUCUGUAGUUCUUUCAAUUUUCAUAUGAUUCAUCAACCUGUUAUCCAAGUUUUUAUGAAGCCCUAGGUUUGUUGGAGUCCUCCUCAAUACAUGACUUUUGUAUUUUUGCUUCCCUUUCAAAUGCACUUUCCUGUUUCUAUUUAAUAUUUUAAAGCCCAUUCAUUUGGAGUUCUGCUAAUGUGCACAAGCAAAAGCAUUCUGUCGUUGGUAUAAGUUUGUAAGUCACUGCAUGUGAAAUUUGUAAUAUUGCACUGUUUGAUGCAUUUGGGAACUUUAACAACUUCAAUCUGGAGAAAGUAACUUUUGUAAUAUACUCCAAUGAUUUUAUUAGCAAAUGAAUGUUUAGAAUAUAUAAAUAAUACUGCUUAUGAACUUGUUCAGUACAAUUUCACUGGGUGAAUUUGUCUACUUCAUUUGGGUUGUGCUCAUUUUGUAUCUUUUUUUUUAAACCUUGCUGUUUUAUAAAAAGUGCCUGGUCUCCCAGGAGCCAAUCACUGGGAAUAGCAUUUGUGCUAGUUUUAAGGUUAAUUAUAGCCAUUCUUGGAUCAUAAGGUUUUUUAAAAAAAAUCCCUGGUUACAAGUGCUGUUCUGGUGACUGGAGUGCAAAUUUUGGAAACCCUGUUUUCUUUCCAUUACAGAGAGUGCACUAACUUUGUGGUAACUAAAAAAAAAAAAAUAAUCAUAGCGCACCUCUGCUCUACCCUUCCUUCUGUCCACUUUUCUCUUUCCCUACCUUCUCUCUUCUUUCUUUCUCUUCCCUCUUUCCCUCUCUCUUUUUGCCCCCCGCCCCCCUGUGCGUGCGCACACACCCCUUGUGCAAGGUAACUAUUAGCCUUACCUCAACUAAUUUUAAUUUAGUUAUCAAAUUUGUUGACUAUCCAAUACUCUGUAUUGAGUUUUGCUUAUAUGGGAAUAAGUACUGAGGUCAUUGUAUCAAUUUUAACAUUAUUGGCAUAAUCUUACAAGGCAGUGAAACAUUGAAUUGGUUCAUUGUUAAAUUACAUAGUUUUGUUUGAAAUGUUUUUUAAAACAGCAUUAAAUAUAUUGUAGAUGCUGGAAGUCUGAAGUUGGUGGAAAAUACUAAAAUAAUAAGCAAUUAGGCCUAGUAAUCAUGCCUUCCCCGAUACAGUUACAGCAUUGCAUUUUCUGUGAUUUUAAAGAUAAUGACUGGCUGACUGGAAACUUGGCUGUUUUGUGUUUGUGAAGCUUGUUUCACCGUCAUGUGGUCCAGCUGUCUCUUCCUUCCAAUAUCUCUAUUUUUCCCAUGAUGAAUUACUGUGGGAAACAUUGGGUAUUCAUAAAUGGAAAUUAAAUUACUUGUAUAACACUAGCCUUUUACCUGUUCUUGACCAAAUCCUUUGUAGGUAGUAUAUGGAGCUUGUUUUGGAAAAUAGCUGGUGACUUUCCAGCUAGAACUCUUGUAGCAAUCCACGUCCCAAAAUAGCGAUCACGUUGGUAGAAGUUUUGGUCGAUUAUUGAGCAAAACCCAUUCCAAGCUGUUUUUAAUCAAUGAUGGACCUAGAUUCUUCACCUCCAUGUGAAUUAUUUCUCUUUCGAAAAAUGGCUUCUCUGGUACUCUAGCAGUCCCACAACGUUGCACUUGAAAUGUUGUGUUUUGUCUUGAGCUACAAACUUUUGACUCGACAGAAUUGUCUCCUGUUUAGAAUGAGCAACAUUUUUUUGGAAGGAAACAGCCUUUUCAAUGUUUUGGUGACUUUAUUUUUCCUCUGACCGAGACCACCUCUUGCGUGCUUAAGUUGGAGGUGUGUUUUUAUAUCAGUUUGCCUGCAUAAAUUAAUCCCAGAAGUACCACGUAUAUCGUGUGAUGAAAUUUAGAAAAUUGGUAACUGCUAGCUUAUUCCUGAAUUCAUUUCAGCGAGAAGAAUGCAGUUUCAGAAGAGGUGGAAUGGAAACAUGAUCUUUGGACCCGAACUCUCCAAGUUGCUGAUAAACUUUACAUUUGUUCCACGUGAAACAAAUAAGGAAACACCAAAGCAUCGCAAUUUUAAGUUUUUCGAUAUUUUGGACGUAUUCGAAAUUUGUUGACUAAAUAUCCUCGGGGGGGACAAAAAACUUGCGUAAACCUUAGCAGGAAGAAGCGAUGCUAGUGCAUUUUACUGGUGGCUGAGUGCAGAUUGUCACAAGGAUCUGGAGUUUUAUCUGGUUCACAGGGAAAGGGACUGCGAGCAGAAGUAAUUGGCGACGAAAAAAAAUCUGCAAGCUUACGUCACAGUGGCUUAUCACUGAACGCAAUAAGUUAAUUUUGGUCAUGUUAAAGGCCAUACUUCAUUUCAAACGUUUUUUGCCACGAUUUUAAAGGCUGUGUUCACUUUCUCUUUGAGAGCAAUUUUAAUUUUGAUCGACAGUAUCCCUUACAAUGGUUUUGGUUUAAAAAGGAGAGUUCGACAAAGGAUGUUCCGAAGUUAGAAGUAUAUUUGAAACAACGAAAAAUCUGAAGUCCUAAUAUGGCUACAAGUGUUGCCAACCUUGCUACCGAGACAAUAGCAAGGAAAAAACACGGUUUACCCAACAAAUCGGAAAUAAGAUCCAACGUGAGGGAAAUCAGUAACGCUAAAAAGAAUCGCAAUAGCAAGGUAGUGGGGGCAAGAAAGUUUAGCUGUUGGACUAUGUAUUUUUAAGUUACUUGUGCAAUAACGCAUUUUGUUUGCUGAGUUAACUAACGGUCAACCUAUUUUACGCUAUUCUAGCAAAAGAAUAAAUCCUCAGCCGAGCAAGCAUCAACUAGGGGAGGGUGGUGUCAAGAGAAUGUCAAAAUGGAAAACUCCGUGAUAUCACUCCCAACUUGGAAUCAAAAUCAAGGAUAUCCGAACACAAUAGAGUGAUGUGCUUUUUUGAUUACAUGACUAAAAUCAAUAAGUAUCAUUAGCAUUAGGAGAACAACUUCCAAUACUUCCUCUCAUUAAAAGCUAUCUUGAUUUUAUACAAUGGUUGCCCAGCUGCAUUUUGCUUUUAAAAAUGUAAUUGAAAUGUAAUUAUUGUACAAAUGCUUCCUGUAGAAAAUGUUCACAAUAAGUAAACAAAAAUAAAAAGUGACAAGCUCCAUUCAACUUGA